rnacentral:rRNA from 1 species
GCUUAACACAUGCAAGUCGAGGGGCAGCAUGGUCUUAGCUUGCUAAGGCCGAUGGCGACCGGCGCACGGGUGAGUAACGCGUAUCCAACCUGCCUUACACUCUUGGACAGCCUUCUGAAAGGGAGAUUAAUACAAGAUGUUAUCAUGAGUAAGCAUUUUCGCAUGAUUAAAGGUUUACCGGUGUAAGAUGGGGAUGCGUUCCAUUAGAUAGUAGGCGGGGUAACGGCCCACCUAGUCUUCGAUGGAUAGGGGUUCUGAGAGGAAGGUCCCCCACAUUGGAACUGAGACACGGUCCAAACUCCUACGGGAGGCAGCAGUGAGGAAUAUUGGUCAAUGGGCGAGAGCCUGAACCAGCCAAGUAGCGUGAAGGAUGACUGCCCUAUGGGUUGUAAACUUCUUUUAUAAAGGAAUAAAGUCGGGUAUGGAUACCCGUUUGCAUGUACUUUAUGAAUAAGGAUCGGCUAACUCCGUGCCAGCAGCCGCGGUAAUACGGAGGAUCCGAGCGUUAUCCGGAUUUAUUGGGUUUAAAGGGAGCGUAGAUGGAUGUUUAAGUCAGUUGUGAAAGUUUGCGGCUCAACCGUAAAAUUGCAGUUGAUACUGGAUAUCUUGAGUGCAGUUGAGGCAGGCGGAAUUCGUGGUGUAGCGGUGAAAUGCUUAGAUAUCACGAAGAACUCCGAUUGCGAAGGCAGCCUGCUAAGCUGCAACUGACAUUGAGGCUCGAAAGUGUGGGUAUCAAACAGGAUUAGAUACCCUGGUAGUCCACACGGUAAACGAUGAAUACUCGCUGUUUGCGAUAUACUGCAAGCGGCCAAGCGAAAGCGUUAAGUAUUCCACCUGGGGAGUACGCCGGCAACGGUGAAACUCAAAGGAAUUGACGGGGGCCCGCACAAGCGGAGGAACAUGUGGUUUAAUCCGAUGAUACGCGAGGAACCUUACCCGGGCUUAAAUUGCAGAUGAAUUACGGUGAAAGCCGUAAGCCGCAAGGCAUCUGUGAAGGUGCUGCAUGGUUGUCGUCAGCUCGUGCCGUGAGGUGUCGGCUUAAGUGCCAUAACGAGCGCAACCCUUGUUGUCAGUUACUAACAGGUUCCGCUGAGGACUCUGACAAGACUGCCAUCGUAAGAUGUGAGGAAGGUGGGGAUGACGUCAAAUCAGCACGGCCCUUACGUCCGGGGCUACACACGUGUUACAAUGGGGGGUACAGAGGGCCGCUACCACGCGAGUGGAUGCCAAUCCCCAAAACCUCUCUCAGUUCGGACUGGAGUCUGCAACCCGACUCCACGAAGCUGGAUUCGCUAGUAAUCGCGCAUCAGCCACGGCGCGGUGAAUACGUUCCCGGGCCUUGUACACACCGCCCGUCAAGCCAUGGGAGCCGGGGGUACCUGAAGUGCGUAACCGCGAGGAGCGCCCUAGGGUAAAACUGGUGACUGGGGCUAAG